rnacentral:sRNA from 1 species
UGAAUAACUUAGGGGGUAUACCAUCCCAAC